GGAGAUGUGGCUCAGCCGCAAAGUGCUUGCCUUGCAAGCGUGAGGCCCUGGGUUCGAUUCCCAGCACCCACA
rnacentral:tRNA from 1 species